rnacentral:rRNA from 1 species
UACAGAGACUGCAAGCGUUAUUCGGAUUCACUGGGCGUAAAGGGUGCGCAGGCGGCCAAGUGUGUUAGGCGUGAAAGCCCGGGGCUUAACCCCGGAAUUGCACCUAAAACUACACGGCUAGAGCAUUGGAGAGGGUAGCAGAAUUCACGGUGUAGCAGUGAAAUGCGUAGAUAUCGUGAGGAAUACCAGAGGCGAAGGCGGCUACCUGGACAAUUGCUGACGCUCAGGCACGAAAGCGUGGGGAGCAAACGGG